UACGGAGGGUGCAAGCGUUAUCCGGAUUCACUGGGUUUAAAGGGUGCGUAGGCGGGCAUGUAAGUCAGUGGUGAAAUCUUCAAGCUUAACUUGGAAACUGCCAUUGAUACUAUGUGUCUUGAAUGUUCUGGAGGUUAGCGGAAUAUGUCAUGUAGCGGUGAAAUGCUUAGAUAUGACAUAGAACACCAAUUGCGAAGGCAGCUCGCUACACGAAUAUUGACUCUGAGGCACGAAAGCGUGGGGAUCAAACAGG
rnacentral:rRNA from 1 species